rnacentral:rRNA from 1 species
UACGUAGGGUGCAAGCGUUGUCCGGAAUUAUUGGGCGUAAAGGGCUCGUAGGCGGUUUGUCGCGUCGGGGAGUGAAAAACGCCGUGCUUAACACGGCGCUUGCUUUCGAUACGGGCAGACUAGAGGUAUGCAGGGGGAGAACGGAAUUCCUGGUGUAGCGGUGAAAAUGCGCAGAUAUCAGGAGGAACACCGGUGGCGAAGGCGGUUCUCUGGGCAUUACCUGACGCUGAGGAGCGAAAAGUGUGGGGGAGCGAACAGG